rnacentral:rRNA from 1 species
GACGAACGCUGGCGGCGUGCUUAACACAUGCAAGUCGAACGGUAAGGCCCUUCGGGGUACACGAGUGGCGAACGGGUGAGUAACACGUGGGUGAUCUGCCCUGCACUUCGGGAUAAGCCUGGGAAACUGGGUCUCAUACCGGAUAGGACCCUGGGAUGCAUGUCCUGGGGUGGCAAGCUUUUGCGGUGUGGGAUGGGCCCGCGGCCUAUCAGCGUGUUGGGGGGGUGAUGGCCUACCAAGGCGACGACGGGUAGCCGGCCUGAGGGGGUGACCGGCCACACUGGGACUGAGAUACGGCCCAGACUCCUACGGGAGGCAGCAGUGGGGAAUAUUGCACAAUGGGCGCAAGCCUGAUGCAGCGACGCCGCGUGAGGGAUGACGGCCUUCGGGUUGCAAACCUCUUUCAGCACCGACGAAGCGCAAGUGACGGUAGGUGCAGAAGAAGGACCGGCCAACUACGUGCCAGCAGCCGCCGUAA